GGGGAAGUCGACAAAAACCUUGAGGAGCUCAGGGCGGCGCUGGGAGCCCGGGACGCCAGGAUCGCGGAGCUCUCCGAGGCGCUCGAACAACGGGACAGACAGAUCGCGGAGCUGAACGCGGAGCUCGACGAAUCCCAAAUGAGGAUCUGU